ensembl:lncRNA
GGUGGGGGAUGGUCCUCAGUCUUGACCUUCUCCAUUCCCCUCACCCUGUUUCUUCUUGAACCACCUGAAAUCAGAGCAGUGGUUCCUAAAGUGCGGUCUGUAAACUAGCAGCAACUGCAGGACUUGGGAAUCUACUAGAAAUGCAGACUCUUCUCUUCCCUGUGCUGUGUGCUUAGUCGCUCAGUCAUGUCUGACUCUUUGCGACCCCAUGGACUGUAGCCCUCCAAGCUCCUCUGUCCAUGGAAUUUUCCAGGCAGGAAUACUGGAGUGGGUAUUCAUGCCUGCUUCCAGGGUAUAUUCCCAACACAGGGAUCAACUUGGUGUCCUAAGUCUCCUGCACUGGCAGGUGGAUUCAUUAUCACUGAGCCACCUGGGAAGCCCCGAGUAACUAAACUUGCCAUCAGUUUGCCUGCUAAGUCGCUUCAGUCCCAUCCAACUCUUUGCAGUCCUAAGGACUGUAACCUGCCAGGCUUCUCUGUCCAUGAGAUUCUCCAGGCAGGAAUACUGGAGUGUGUUGCCAUGUCUGCCUCCAGGAUAUCUCCCCCACACAGGGAUGGAACCCACAUCUCCUGCGUUGCAGACUGAUUCUUUACCACCAGUGCCACCUGGAAAACCGCCUGGGAAGGCCGCCGUUUAAACAUUGGCUAAACUGAGCCGCAGGCGCAUUGCUGAGCGGGGCGGACUUGGGGCGGUGCCUUUAACACCCCUACCCUCCCAGCAAGGGAACAACGGAAACGGAAGCUGAGCAUGCUCUUCUCUGAGCCCCGAGGCCCGGUGGGGCAGCUGCUACAGAAGGAAGCGUUAGUGUGGGGCAAGAGGAAUGACUGUUAAGCCAUGAGGAUGUGCAGCCUAGCUGACUACUGUGAGCCAAACAAGUUCCACAUCUGGACUGAAGACGUCCAGUCGGAUGGACAGCUGGAGUCCAGGAAGGCAAGCACAGCUGGAUCACAUCCCCAGCCUUUCUUGCAGGGCCCCUUUCCUGGUCUCUCUCCUUAGGUCCAUAAUCACUCAUGUCUCCAGGCCAAGCUGGAAUGUCACGUUCUCCACGAGGCCUUUCUUGAUCCCCUCAACGAAGUGAGCCUGGCCCUGCUGGAAAUUGACAGCACUUGGUGUGUGCUCCUCUUUCAUGAGUCACCGCAUCCACCCCACACUCAUGCAGUCCUGACCGCCACAACCCCCACAGCUGACCAUCCCAAUCUAGUUGUCCCCAGUACAAUGACAGCUAUCACCGCUCCGCCUUCCAGGAACAAAGCUGGAGUGCCAGGGCCAGAGCCCAGCUCUCGGCUGUCGGGGCCCAAGACUGGAGGUUUUAACCACUGUGCUUUACUGCUUUGCCCAUGACACAUAAAUUGAUAGUGAUGAAUAGGUCUUAUUUUCAAGACUGCAUUAUAAACUCCCCAAAAGUAGGGCCUUCAUUUAACCUUGUGAAUGCUUAGUGAAGGACCAGGCAAGUGGUAGAUACUUAAUAAAUACUUGGAUGGAUGAAU